rnacentral:lncRNA from 1 species
GGGGACAAUGGGCCAGAGCUUCUCAUGCAGCCUGCACCAGCGCCGGGUCGGAGAGUCAGAGGCCACCCUGAGAUGGACCGAGAUCUUCAGUUGGGGAGGCGCCUCCGGUGAGCUUGCGGCCAGAUGCCCCCUCAGUAGUCCUCCGCAACAGGUGCCGCGCAGCCGAGUGGCGGGCUAGCAUACCGCCUGCCCGCAAUUCGGCCAGGCCUCGAGCCUGCUCCGCCUUCCCGCUGCGGUAGCGCCGCCGGGGAAACGCCGCCACGGGCUGCAUGGGCAGCGCUCGCGCCCCGCCGCUGAGCCGCCGGGGAGCCGUCCAGUCUUCGAAUCCCACCACAGCAUGUUCCGAAGAGAUGAUUGGAAGAUGGAAGUGGAGGGUUAAAUAAUGAAAUGCAGCUAACAUUUCGGAAAGUUUCUAAAAGUUGUACAACAUGCCCUACAGCUACUCUUUAAAUCUCCAAAUCAAAUGAGUUUCAGGUGGAGCCUCUGGGAGGUGAUGAGGUCAUGAGAGUGGAGCCUCAUGAAUGGGAUGAGCACUCCUACAAAAAGGAUUCCAGAGAGCUCGCUUGCUCCUUCCACAGUGUGAGGACACAGAGGGAAGGCUCUGUCUAUGAAUGAGAAAGUGGGUCCCCACCAGACAUUGAAUCUGCCGCAUCUUGAUACUGGACUUCCAGUCUCCAGAACUGUGGGCAAUAAAUGUCUGUUGUUUAUUACCUGUCCAGUAUCUUUGGUAUUUUGCUAUAGCAACCCAAAUGGACUAAGAAAACACCAGAGGCCAUACCUAAUAAAAAUAUUGACAUCACAA